ensembl:rRNA 5S_rRNA 5S ribosomal RNA
UUUUGUAGUGAUAUUUCCAUUUAAAAAUAUAGUAAUUCUUCUGAUCUCAGAAGCUAAGCAGGGUCGGGCCUGGUUAGUACUUGGGUGAGAAACCACCUAGGAAAGCCAGGUGCUGUAGGUG